rnacentral:lncRNA from 1 species
UUUCGAGGUUCUUCACACCAUGUUUCCCCUGAGGAGUGCUUCAACAUUCAGCUUUUUUGCAUUUUCUUCACCGUGGCUCUUGAGGAGCAAUUCUUCGUGGAGCUUUUUGUGUUUUGUUCACCUUGUGGUCCCUGAGGAGUUCUCCAUCGUGCAGCUUUUGGGGUUCUCUUCACUUUGGGACUCCGGAGGAACACAUCAUCGUGCAUAUUUUGGUAUUUUCUUCACUACGGCCCUGAGGAGUUCAUCGUGCUGCUUGUGGUGUUUUCUUCUACUUGGCCCUGAGGAGUUCUGCACCAUCCAGCCUUUGGUGUUCUCCUUACCAUGUUUUCUCCUGAGCUUCAUCAUGCCGCUUUUGGCCUCGAGGAGUGCUUCUGCGUGCGGCUUCUGGUGUAUUCUUCAUUGUCGUCCGUGAGGAGUUCUUCAUCGUUCAGCUUUUUGGGAUCUCUUCACCACGUUUCCUCUGAGGAGAGCUUUAUCGUCCAUCUUUUGGUGUUUUCUUCUAGUCAGCGCUAAGGAGUUCUGCAUCGUGCAGCUUUUGGUGUUUUCUACAAUGAGGCGCUUUUCGGCAUCUACCAUGUCUGCAGCCAGACCGACAGCUCCGUGCCUGACGUGUGAAGAAGCACAUUCUUCUGUCUAUUUUCAAUCUGCCAACUGAUCAUUUCAUGUAGAGCUGUCUUUUUUGUAUUAGGAGGUGCCAUGUUCUGUCAUGCUGCUAUAAAUCUCUUUCAAACAAUUUCCGAGUUCUCUUGCCUCAUGUACUGGGUUUAGUGGCAAGGUUUUGGUAGCAGGAGGGCCAUCAGGGUGGGUUCUGUGAGAAGAAUCCAGAAACUGCGCCAUGUUAGAGAAGGGCCCGCUGCUGGCCACAGCCAGGCCAAGAAGCGCUGUUUGCACCUCUGUGAGGCCAGAUUUAAGAAAGGUUAAAAGAAACAAAAACAAACAAACAAAUGCUGCGGAGGAGCAGCUGGGAGAGAGGGAGGAAUGAGAAACAGCCUUGCAGACGCCAAGGUCGGUGAAGAGGGAGGGGGAGAGGUGUUCCAGGUGCCGGAGCCUGCAGCCUGCAGCCUGUGGUGAGGACCAUGGAGAAGCAGGCUGUCCCCCUGCAGCCCAUGGUGUACCACGGUGGAGCAGGGUUCCACGCUGCAGCCCGUGGAGGGGACCCCAGUGGAACAGGGGCAGAGAGCGACCGAGAAGGAGCAGCGGAGACAAAGUGCUACGGACUGACCUCAGCCCCCAUUGCCCCGCUCCCCUGAGCCACUUGGGUAGAGGAGGUGGGAGAGGGUAGAUUGGAGGCAGGGGAAAUCUUACUGUCUCCGUCCUCUGAGUCUGCUUUGCCCAUCACGAUACCUGCUGAGUGAUCUCCCCAUCCUUAUCUGAGCCCUUGAGCCCUUGGCAUCGUAUUUUCUCUCCCUUUCCCUUUCAGGAGGGGGAGGGAGAGAGCGGCCGUGCUGGAACUCGGCCACCCACCCGAGUAAAAGCACCACACUGUAACACUUAAAUUAAAGUCCCUUUGCUGCAUCUGAAGUCCUUUCUUCCUUGUCCUAAAGCUAUGGCCUAGGGAGAAGUUUGCUCGCUUUUUAUUUGCAGCAUCCUUCUCCACAUCUCGGUUCUGCCUUCUCUUGACAUUAAAGCCUUAGUCCAUUAAUCCAAUGUUUAAUCUUUCCUUAGAGACCACGUUUCCUAAAAGCCUGAUCCUAAGAAGGGUCGUUCUUAGCAUCGCUUCCUGGGUUCCUUGGAUGCUUUCUGCUUGGUGUGUGUAUUCCUUGAGAUACAAUCCUCAGAAAUGGACACAAUUUCAGUGGAAAAUUUCACAGUAGACCCCACACUCUGGAUAGAGCAGUCUUCCGUCAGCCGCUCCCUCUCACCUUCUUCAACCUGCUGAUGGGAGCACGAGGUGGAGGGUGUUGCAGGCUUUCUGAAGGUGACACGUGAGGGUCUUCCCUGAGCAAGGUGUUCCGCUGUCAGAGAAGGAAACGGCUUUGUUGUUUGUUUCUCACCAUCGGCACUUUGUUGCAGUUUCAGCUGUGAUUGCCUAACUACACAUAACCUAUUGGAUUAUUUCUUGGAGUAUUUUUGUAGGAGCGGACAUUUUACUCACUAGUUCAAAUAGCGAGAUCGUGUUCAUGUCAUUCACUUACUUUUCAGCCAAAUGCAACUUUUCAUAGAAUUUGCUAGCGUUGCAGGGGCCCGGCCAUGACUGCUCUCCUCUUAAGGCACCUCCAGUGCUAAGGAGACAGGGAAAGACUUUGGGAGUGCAUUUGGUGUCUUCCCAGUGGGAUGCUGAUGUGCUAAACUUUUCUAUCACAGAGUGUGAUGUGAACCUCCAGAACCAAGCAACAACACAACAAAAAUGAAAGGCUCUUGCUAGUGUCUGCCAUGAUAUCCUGCUAACAAAGCUGACAAAGCGUGGGACAGAAGAGCGGACAGUAAGGUGGGUUGAGAACUGGCUGACUGGCCGAGCUCAAAGGGUGGUGAUCGGUGGCGCUUGGAGACCUGUGACAAGCUCAGGGGUUGGUGCUGGGUCCCGUCUUGUUCGACAGUUUCAUCAGCGACUCUGAUGAGGGAACAGUGUCCACCCUCAGCAUGUACACCAAUGAUACAAAGCUGGGAGGAGUGCCUGGCACGCCAGAAGGCUGUGCUGCCAUUCAGCGAGACCUUGACAGGCUGGAGAGCUGGGCAGGAAGAAACCAGAUGAGGUUUAACAAAAGCAAGUUGCACCUGGGAAGUGUUAUAUAUGGAGUGGUAAUUCGUGUUGAGAAGAUGGUUGAUAUUAAUAAAGAAGGGGGAGAUGUGGGAGUGUGGCCA